rnacentral:rRNA from 1 species
AAGGGAGCGUAGGCGGCUGAUUAAGUCAGCGGUGAAAGGUAGCAGCUUAACUGUUUUACAUGCCGUUGAUACUGGUUAGCUUGAGUUGACAGAAGGCAGAUAGAAUUCCUGAUGUAGCGGUGAAAUGCUUAGAUAUCAGGAGGAAUACCGAUUGCGAAGGCAGUCUGCUGCAGUCACACUGACGCUGAGGCUCGAAGGUGCGGGGAUCAAACAGGAUUAGAUACCCUUGU